UACUAAAGCUAAAAUUUAGCUGCUCCAGCUUGACUUAAUACCUCUUCGAUAUUUUUCCCUUCCCUCCAAAAAGAGAAAAUCUAAAAACCCGCAAAAGCCCUUUGAACUCUCUCCUUUCUUUUUUCCCUUAAAAAUCCAAUCGCCCAGCAUUCAAACUCUUGCUUUGCUUCUCAAAAAUGGCGUCGCGCUUUAGAUCUAUCUCAAACCCAACAUUUUCUAUCCUCAAAUCUGCCAUUAACAAGCCAACCCUUAAACCCAGUCUCGCCUCUCCUCUCCUUCAUGCUCGCUCUUCUUCUCCCACAUUUUCAAGGUCUGUUUCUCGAUUGGGUUGUCUUCAAUCUCUGCUGCCACUUCACUCAGCAGUGUCUUCAGCCCGGCUCACGUCGUGCCUAGGAACUGAUUCAAUGAGCUCCAGGUCGUUGUCUCAGGGUAUGCUUUGCAGUGCAAAUCCAGGAGUUUGAUAAUCUCCACAAUCAUGGCCCUUUUCUAUCCUUAUUGUCAAUUGAUUUUAAUGGAACAGUGGGGUGCAAGACUCUGUAGGUUUCUCCUAUUGAAAUGAAUAACUGAAUGUACAUUAUGAUUCGUGUAUAGUUAUGUACAUGUCAAUGUACUUGGACUCGUAUAAAUGGAUAGCCGUGUUUUGGUUGCAAGAGAUCAUCUAUAGUAAGGAAUGUAAGGCCAUUAGGAUCAUUCGAACUUGUUUGAUAUCUGCAGUUUAGUGGUCUGCAUUUUCAUGAAAUGCAAUCGAAGGCCAACGUUCAAGUAAUUUUGCCAGUGGUAUUUGUUCAUUGUUUCAUGGUAUUCGAUGGCAGCAGCUUAGCUCAAUAUUGAGUAUUGACCAUGCUUUGAAAUAUAACUAGAUCUCAGUGUGCCUCGAUAACGUAUCAGAAGUCGAAGGAAAUGAUGCAUGAUGCAAGAGGGUAGUUGUUUUUUCCUUCUUUUAUGUGUGUCCAUUUGGAGAUUUAGUUUAUUUGACAAGUGUGCCAUUUCAUAUCAUAUUGAAAUGAAUUUUCAAUGUCCUUGUGAUUCUCCCAAUUAUAGAAAAUUCUCUCUAGAUAUCAAGCUUACUCCAUGGAUUCUA